GGUGGCCACCUCAUGGUGCUCUAGAGCUGCACUGUCUGAUAAAGUAGCCACUAGCCACUGUGGUUUUUCAAAUUUAAAGUAAUUAAAUAUAGAUAAAACUUAAAACUCAGUUCCUCAGUCUAACUAUUUCACAUACUCUAUGGGCAUACGGGGCUAGUGGCUGCCAUAUUGAAUAGUAUCAAGUAGCUCCACGCAGAAGAUCAUAGAAGAGCAGAAGGUCAUCCCAGUCAUUGGAGAAAGUCCUCGUGGACAGAAAGUAUUAUAUGUCCUACAGCUGAUGAUUUUGGGUAAGGAGUGCUGCUAGGUUGGUCUCAAUGGAAGAAAGCCCUAUCUGUUCUGACUCUGUCACCAAUCUGGCUGUGGAUUGGGGAAGAAAGCAUCUGGAAGUCACCUUGAAUCCAUAAGGGGAGUCAAUCUUAAGAUAAAGCUGAGAAAGACCGAAGAGAGGAGCUGCCCAUUCUGAGAGGAAAUCAUGUAAAUGAAACAGGAACUUUGGCAUAAAGAACGAUAGCUCCACGAGGACUGGGAUCUUUGUGGUUUUGCUAUAUUCACCCCACAGCGAAUCCAGUGUGUGUGGCGGUGUGAUUCCUUUCUGCCACGCUAACUCACUCUGCAGCAGUUUCCGUGGGUGAGGAAUCCAGCCCAACCUGACUGAAUGCCUCUCUUCAGAGUCUCUCCCAAGGCUGCAAUCAAGGGGUCAGCCAGGAUGGCAGCCUUCUCAAGCCUCAAUGAGGGGAGGAUCCAAUUCUAAGGAUGAAAUGGAUUCUAGAGAUGGCUGAUUGUAAUGGCUACACAACAAAAUGAAUGCACUUAGGUCUUGAAAACUCCAGAACAUCACAGGCAACCUGCCCAAGUUUCCUGAGGGAGAAGCCAGACCGGGAGAGACUUUGUCGUCAUGAUUCCUACAAGGACCAACAAUUGAGAACCUGGCAGUAUUUGCACAUAUUGUAGGAACGAAAAAGAAAGGAGCAAAUGGACACAAUCACCUCCAAAAAGUGAUAACAUUCAAUAAUAAGAUGACACUGGCUGACAUUCAGAAGACAUUGGAUAUCUUCUCUUCUAGGGCUUGGAAUUUUUCUACCCAGCUAAGAAGGCAACAACCCCAAGAUCCCUCCAUGGAAAUGGCGCUGAGUGUAUGAUCCUGCAGACAUAUUGCCACCAAGGGAAUACCUGCCUGAGAAGGACCAGAAGGAGAAAGUGGAGCCCAAUACAGAAGGAGUGGGGACCUAACGAUAUACUUUCAGGUGUCUCUCAGGGUCUCAGGUUUCCUAAUUGAAAUGUGCCGAAGCAAUUGAAAUGUGGUACCUCAGUGAAUUACUGUCAGACACCGUAACCUUUCGACCAGCUAGAAUCUUGUCGUGAGAGGAGACCGUGUACGUUGGUGAAAGUUUAGAAAAAAGAAUCCCCCUUAUUCAAUCAACUAACAAAGACCCAUGGAGUACCCCAGUGGGGGCCCCAAAGAAGACGCAAAGAAGAAAAACACAAUCUUUGCCCUGAAGGAGUCGUCAUCUUUUGAGGAAACAAAACAUCAUGUCAUAGUUAUACUGUAGUGAGCUCAAGCUCUCAAACCCAAUAAAAUAUGGGAUAUUCA